rnacentral:rRNA from 1 species
AUAACUCAGGGAUAGCCUUCGAAAGAAAGAUUAAUACCUGAUAGUUACUUUUUCAAGGCAUCUUAGAAAAAGUUAAAGAUUUAUUGGUUAUGGAUGGGGAUGCGUCCAUAGAUAGUUGGUGAGGUAACGGCUCACCAAGUCUUCGAUGGAGUAGGGGUUCUGAGAGGAACGGUCCCCCACAUUGGUACUGAGACACGGACCAAACUCCUACGGGAGGCAGCAGUGAAGGAAUAUUGGUCAAGUGGGCGAGAGCCUGAACCAGCCAAGUAGCGUGAAGGAAUGAAGGUCCUAUGGAUUGUAAACUUCUUUUAUAGUAGAAUAAAGUGAGCCACGUGUGGUUUUUUGUAUGUAUACUAUGAAUAAGGAUCGGCUAACUCCGUGCCAGCAGCCGC